rnacentral:snRNA from 1 species
AUCGCUUCUCGGCCUUUUGGCUAAGAUCAAGUGUAGUAUCACCCUCUCUUGCCUGGAGAUUUCCAAGUUCCUAGUCUCUCUGUUAGGCUCCAAAAGUUAGCCCUGUCUCCCUCUCUUCUAGCAGUUCCCAAUUGAGGAAACUCUCA